GAGAGAGAGAGAGAGAGAGAGAGAGAGAGAGAGAGAGAGAGAGAGAGAGAGGGAGAGAGAGAGAGAGAGAGAGAGAGAGAGAGAGAGAGAGAGAGAGAGAGAGGGAGAGAGAGAGAGAGAGAGAGAGAGAGAGAGAGAAAGAGAGAGAGAGAGAGGAGAGACAGAGAAAGAGGGAUGGAGGGAGGUAGGGAGGGAGAGAGAGAGACACAGACACAGACACAGAGAGACAGAGACAGAGACAGAGAGAGAGAGAGAUUAGGUUUGACAGCGGAGAGCAGCAGAGGUGCCAUUUGUGACACCUGUUUAGAACACAGGGGCGUGCUCGAUACGCGUGGAGAGACAAAAUAGAAAACAUCUCUAGGCUGUGUGUUAAUCAGGAAUCAUGGCGGUAAGCAACGGAGAGGAGGAGGUCUUCACUGUGAUACAACAUUAUACCAUAACAUCGUGUUCAUAAGUGUCCUUUUGUGUUAUUAUUACCAUAAUAAACGCAACAAACAACAUAGCUGGGUUGAUGUGGCCGGAUGGUACCCUCUAAAGGAAUAGAGAGUAAUUGGUAUAUUGGCCAACCUAUCACAUCGUUUUAGCUCAAUGUAAGUUUGGUGCGUGUUCAUAAUUCAGUUCCUAAUGUGACCACGGAUAUUAAAAUCAAAUUUGUAUUUGAGGCUUUCACCCCAGCAGACUUGAUGUCAUACCUCAAAGGAUAUGAGGGUUUUCAUUUAAAUACCAGUUUUGGAUUAGUUGGAUUAGUUAUUGUUUCGGUUCUCUCGGUAAUAAGCCAUAUAUACAAACGGCCGCAUGCUGUUUACUAAGCUGUUGCAUUGCAGUUAACGUACAACAACCUGUGGCGCUGCCAAGGGUUUUUUCCUUAGUUGUUAUUGUGUUUUCUGAAUCUGUGCAAAAGUUUUCAAGGAUUGUAUUUUUGGCUUAACUAACUCAACUGCCAAUGGCUCAUGGGCUUCAACUUUUUCAGUGGGAUUAGCCCACCAGGUGUGUGUGUGUGUGUGUGUGUGUGUGUGUGUGGGACUUUAUUUGCCAACAGGUAGCCUAGUGUUUUUGUCAGCCUCUUGUUUAUUUGACCUAGUUGAAAACAGUUGUUGUGUUGUGUGCAUAAGAAUAUUAAUAUUUUGUUCAAUCUUGAUGCAUUGGACCGUUGGAUCAUUGACUCAGACACCCACUUGGAAACAAUAAUUGUAUGCACUUAAAUCGUGAAUGUAUUUGGUAUGCCUCAUUAAUCCGUUUCCUAAGUCUGCCGUGUGCGCAGUCCGAUGACGCAGAGUGCCUUUUGUGAUGAGAUGAGCAACAAGGAAAUGAAACGCACGGACCGCUUGUUCUAUGGAUUAAAGCGCUGUCAUGUGACAAGGACAUGUCGCCCAAAGCACAGAGCCCAAGACAAAGAAACAGUCGCAACGUCAUCCGGCUGAAUGGUCAUCCCGAAAUAGUAGGCUGAGUGUUGUUUGUGCUUUGCACUGUGAUAAUAGGCUGUGUUGGGGAGCAGCAGCAUCAUCGCUUGACCCCCGACCCACACACAUUGAGUAAGAGAGGAGAAGGGUAUAUUUUUAGUGUGGCAUUAACCGUGCAUCAGAACAAACACAGAAUGGCUCAAUACCGUUAUCCCCUCCAGGGUUUACAAAGCAAUUCAGAGAAAGAAGCAAACCCUUGUUAUGUUAGGCUUAUCUUUCCCAUCCACUCCAGUAGUUUCUGCCAGUAUUGAUUCCUCCAUGGAGGCGUAUGCUCUGUUCUCGUCGGAAGAUCAAUCACAAUGGUUCAACUUCACAGCAGCUGAUGCACAGGAAGUUGCAGAAGAAACAGAUGAGUAGCCGUGACGUCUCUUUCUGUGAUGGCCAUGCUGUUCCUCUUCUGCCCCUCGUCAACCUCCAUUACUACCAUGCGAGACACUCAGCAUUCAUCACAUAUCACAUGACCCAAGGCCGGAAUGCAUAUGGUUGAUUGAUGGAUUAUGGUUUCAAAACUGACUGCACUGUAAUGCACUGUAUAAUAUACAGAGAUUACUUAAAGUCUAUACUGAGUUUAAAUGGAUCGAGAAAACAGCCAAUAGUCUCCCUUAAAAUCCACGAGGAGUUCCAAAAACGUAAUGUAGUGUACCACUGACUAAAUGACGUUAUAGAAUAGUAGUUCCUUGGAUUUGUUUUUUGCAAAGACAGAAAUAGCCAUCAUCUCUCCAUCAUGCCAGUGGGAUACUGCUAACCUGUACCGCAUAGGUUUGUGAUUCAUCAUUGAAUUUUCUUUUAUUGUAGUGCAUUUACAAGUAUACUUGAGUGAAAAUAUAUAUAUUUUUAGCGUUCUCUUAGCUUUUGUAAUUUCAAAAUCAAUAUGAAUUCAUAUGUUCAGAUUUGCUUACAAACAUCUGAUAAACUAAUCAAAAAUGUUGAAAUGCGUGCUACAGACGAACCCGAGUCAACCCUCGAAUGCCCUAUAAUAGACUGUAUUAUUUCCAUGCUGAGCAGAAGGCUUUCUGCCAAACCUUUGACAAAUGGAGCAUGCACACUGCACAUACAAAGAAGCCUAUAGCGCAUACGUAAAUAGAGCAUAUAUACACUAGAGCGCACGAUGCUAAGACAAAUCUACAAACAAAAUACACUUACAGUACGUGGGUCGACCAGAGAUCAGCAGAAAGGAGCCAAGAUAAUUUGACAAACAAAGGACACGAUAACACAAAAACUUGAAGGGGAACUAUGUGUUCUUUGCUCUGCGUCGUAUGACCAGGACUGUUCACGCUCCGAUGCUGAGGGGACGGGCUUUAAGGGAUAUGUUGUGUCAACGACGGGCGAUCAAUCAGUAUUCGAGAUGUAAAGAAUAUACAGAAGCGAUACUCAGAUCUUUCAAGGACUGCCGAUCACAGGACGUACAAAGACCACUUAAAAAGUCAGAAAUACUCAGCUGAGAUCAACCAAAGUUGAGCCCCUUAAAUGGAACAAAACGCCCACCACCUUCACCUAGGCCCCCUGAAUCUGGCAUAUGAGAGGCGAUGUGGUCCAAUCUAUGACUGUGCAUUACGCCACAAUAGGACUUAGAUGUGUAGCAUUGGAACAAUGCAUGAAUCAUGUGCAGACAUUACUGUCCUGCUAUACCACAGCUUCCUGUCACGGGGGCUCAGGGUUUGCCGACAUCAGCCAGGGCCCGGUGUGGUGAGGACAGAGCUAACUGAGAUCUACAGCUGUACUCCGACUGCUUCUCAUGGGAAGGUGACAUUUGUACACGGUGCCUUUAGUUGAUGCAGACGCAUGUCUGUCGCACACAGGAAGAGGCUGAAAUGAAAGAGACGUCUUCUAACGGUGACAUGGCAAUGACAGGUUUAAAAGGGCAAAGCAAGCCAGCCCUGACAAAAAUAGGAGCAAACCUUAAACAAAUCAUUAGAAAUACUAUGUUUUGAAGGACUGAAUGAAAGCGUGGAGCUG
ensembl:lncRNA